CUUUGUUUGAAAGCUACGGCGGAUACGGAUAGGCUCGCGAGACAUUAGCUAGUUGGCGGGGUAACGGCCCACCAAGGCGACGAUGUCUAGGGGUUCUGAGAGGAAGGUCCCCCACAUUGGAACUGAGACACGGUCCAAACUCCUACGGGAGGCAGCAGUGAGGAAUAUUGGUCAAUGGCCGAAAGGCUGAACCAGCCAUGCCGCGUGCAGGAAUAAGGCCCUAUGGGUCGUAAACUGCUUUUGUGGUGGAGCAAUAAGACGUACGUGUACGUCGAUGAGAGUACAUCACGAAUAAGCAUCGGCUAACUCCGUGCCAGCAGCCGCGGUAAUACGGAGGAUGCAAGCGUUAUCCGGAUUUAUUGGGUUUAAAGGGUGCGUAGGCUGUUUGUCAAGUCAGGGGUGAAAUACCUGAGCCUAACUCAGGAACUGCCUUUGAUACUGGCAGGCUGGAAUACGGAUGCCGUGGGAGGAAUGAGUAGUGUAGCGGUGAAAUGCAUAGAUAUUACUCAGAACACCGAUUGCGAAGGCAUCUCACGAAUCCGUCAUUGACGCUGAGGCACGAAAGCGUGGGGAUCAAACA
rnacentral:rRNA from 1 species